rnacentral:rRNA from 1 species
GACGAACGCUGGCGGCGUGCUUAACACAUGCAAGUCGAACGGUGAACCUCUUCGUAGGGGAUCAGUGGCGAACGGGUGAGUAACACGUGGGCAACCUGCCCCCGGCUCUGGGAUAACUCCAAGAAAUUGGGGCUAAUACCGUAUGGUCACCGCUUCCCGCAUGGGUGGUUGUGGAAAGGGUUUCCUGAUGGGGAUGGGCCCGCGGCCCAUCAGCUUGUUGGUGGGGUAGUGGACUACCAAGGCGACGACGGGUAGCCGGCCUGAGAGGGUGACCGGCCACACUGGGACUGAGACACGGCCCAGCCUCCUACGGGAGGCAGCAGUGGGGAAUGGUGCGCAAGGGGCGGAAGCCUGACGCAGCGACGCCGCGUGGGGGAUGACGGCAUUCGGGUUGUAAUCCUCUUUCCGCAGGGACGAAGCGCAAGUGACGGUACCUGCAGAAGAAGCACCGGCCAACUACGUG